UUUGAGUGUAUUUUGUUUUGUUUUCUGAUCAGCCGGUCGCGACUUCGGAACACGGAAAAAAUGUAGCUCGGGUAUAUCGCUGAGGUGGCCGUUUGGAAAUCGUCCAGUGCAGGUGAAAUUUUGAGUGUUUCGGUGAACAAUCGAUUUGUGGCUUUUACUAGUGGGCAAUGCCCAUGUCUUAUUUACCAAGAGGUUGGACCUGGUCAUCGAGUUCCACUGGGGGAUGACGCACCGAGCGAUUCUCGGUGGUACCAUUGAAUCCGUUCAUUUUUCUUCUGGUCAUCAUGAUGACGAUUCGGACAAACUUCUGGUGGAUGAACAAUUUUUCGCGAUCAAACAUACAGGGGAACAUCAUUGCAAUUCUUACUCUACAGACCAUCGACAUCCAGCUGUUCUGCCAAAAUAAGGACAUCGCCUGUUUGGCCAAGAUCAACAAUCGGGACGCUUGGCUGAAGCAACAUUCGUUGGACUUCAACGAAAAGUACGGUCAUAUUCUCCCCCCAGGAGCUUAUCAAGAUUAUUUCCUGGAGGAAAACAGAAUUACACACAGAAUUUUUUGUCAAAGUGUUGCUGUUAACUAUUCAGAAAAAGGCUAGCUCUGAACAGUUGUCGACUGCAGCCGGGCAGGUUAUUCCCAACUUUUUGAAAAAAGAGUUCCAACUUUGAAAACAUGAAGAAAAUUGGUUACGCCCUCGUCAUGCCAAAGGUGCAGCAACUGGAGGACAAUAUGAAGGAGAAAAUUGAAUGUCAACACAGCAGAUCCGGGGGA